AGAAGUGAUAGGAUUUACCCAAAACCACAGAGCUGGCAACCACAGACUGGGAGUAAUUGUAGGCCAAAUGUCCAGCAUCCCAGUCAAGUGCUAAUCGCAUCUCUUCACACCCUAUGGGGCAAUCAUAACUCCUAAGAACAGACAACAAAGCCAGAGAUUCUAUGCAGGAUAUUCAAUUGGUAGAAAGGGUUUGCAAAAUUAGAUGUAUUUCUUCUACAAUACCGGUAGGAAAGACACCAAGACUGUAGGUAGAAUUGACUCUGAGCAAUAUUGUGAAGUCAGUAAAGUAUAAAUUCAGUGGCCUCGGGAUCCCUGGGUGGCGCAGCGGUUUGGCGCCUGCCUUUGGCCCAGGGCGCGAUCCUGGAAACCCGGGAUCGAAUCCCACGUCGGGCUCCCGGAGCCCAAUGUGGGACUCCAUCCUGGGACUCCAGGAUUAUGCCCUGAGCCAGAGGCAGCCACUCAACUGCUGAGUCACCCGGGUGUCCCAGGUUAUUUGUUUUUCUCUCAUUAAUCUGUCUUUUUGUUAAAGAGCCCUGCUGAAAACCUAAGAUGAAUAAAGUUUUGCCUCUCUACAAAAAGAAGCAGAUCACUUGAUGAAUGUUUUUCUUCACUUCCGCUCUUCAUAUACUGAAACUCUAAUCACAAUGUGAUCAUAUCUGGAGUUGGGGCCUUUGGGAGGUAAUUAAGUCAUGAAGGUGGAACCUUCAGCCAGAGAGCUGACUCUCUUCUUCUACCAUGUAAGGACACAAAAAGUCAGCAAUCUACAGCUUAGAAGAGGACCUUUGCCAGAAUCCAAAUCUGCCAGCCCCCUGAUCUCAUACUUCCAGCCUCCAGAACUGUAAGAAAUAAAUUUCUAUUAUUGAUACAUCACUGUCUAUGGUUCUCUGUUAUAGCAGCCUGAACUAAGACAUUCCCCUUACAAAUCUCAUUUUGACUCUGUCCCUGUGAGGCAGAUGACAAACCAAUUACUGAAGUCACCAUUAUCUAGUCUAGUUACAAGUAGGCACACAAGAUAUUAGGGUUUGAUUUUUACAGAUCAAGCCAAGGACCAGAAAAGGUGGCUUCAGGAGCACCUGGCUGGCUCAGGUGGUUAAGUGUACAACUCUUGAUUUAGGCUCAUGUCAUGAUUUCAAGGUUGUGAGAUCGAACCCUGUAUUAGGCUUUGCACUCAGCACAGAGUCUGCUUGAGAUUCUCUCUCUCUCUCCCUUUCCUUCUUCCCUUCCUUCCCCUUGCACUCACAAUAAAUAAAUAAAUAAAUAAAUAAAUAAAUAAAUAAAUAAAUAAAUAAAUAAAAUACUUUUUAAAAAGUGGCUUCAUCAGCAGGUUAUGAGUCAAUGGGCUACAGAAGAAAAAGUGGGCUUUCCUGGCUCUUAAUGUCUUUUUAAAUCACUCCUUGUAUAUAGCAUCCUUUUCCCCUUCACUGUCUUUAGAGAGAACACUGAGAAUGAGGUGAGCAGAGUCAAAGUUCUUAUGAGGGUGAAAUGAAAGUUUCAGAAGCUCCAGGGCCACCUUGUCCUCCAGCCCAGUGGUGAGGACCUGAGGUGACUUGGCCUAUGUCUCUGCCUUUCUCAGUUUCUCUCAUGAAUGAAUAAAUAAAUAAAAUCUUUUUUUUAAAUAAAUAAAUAUAAGUCAAAACAUAGUCCCUACCUCUCAUGGAGUUUACAGUGAUUAUCCAUGAACAAUAACAUGAAUAACUAAUACAUAUAGAAUGAUUAAUAUGUGCCAGGCCUUCUUCUAAGCACUUUACAUUUAUUAUUUAAUUCACACAACUAGAAAGGUAUUAUCAUCACCGUUUUAUAGAUGAGGAAACUGAGCCACAGAAAGUCAGAAAUUUGCCCAAAGUCACAUGGCUACAGCAGUGGGACCUGUAUCCUACUUGCCACCACUUUACUGUCUUUACCAUCUUACUAACAUAGAUGUCACCUGAGGUGUUAUACUAAUCCAUUCAUUUAUUAAUUCAUCUACUCAUCCCACUGUUAUUAAACAUCUUUGAUGUGCCAGGGAUGUGGCUGUGGUUUUGGGAAAACAAAGAAUUAGCAGCAGUCCCUGUUAUUGAGUAGAUC
rnacentral:lncRNA from 1 species